rnacentral:rRNA from 1 species
UACGUAGGGGGCAAGCGUUGUCCGGAUUUAUUGGGCGUAAAGAGCGUGUAGGCGGUUUGGUAGGUCCGCUGUGAAAGCCCGGGGCUUAACCCCGGGUCGGCAGUGGAUACGGGCAGGCUAGAGGUAGGUAGGGGAGAAUGGAAUUCCCGGUGUAGCGGUGAAAUGCGCAGAUAUCGGGAGGAACACCGGUGGCGAAGGCGGUUCUCUGGGCCUUACCUGACGCUGAGGAGCGAAAGCGUGGGGAGCGAACAGG